AACGAACGCUGGCGGCAGGUCUUAGGCAUGCAAGUCGAGCGGACUUUCAAGAAGCUUGCUUUUUGAAAGUUAGCGGCGGACGGGUGAGUAACACGUGGGCAACCUGCCUGUAAGACGGGGAUAACUCCGGGAAACCGGGGCUAAUACCGGAUAAUAUCUUUCUUCGCAUGAAGGAAGGUUGAAAGGCGGCGCAAGCUGCCGCUUGCAGAUGGGCCCGCGGCGCAUUAGCUAGUUGGUGAGGUAACGGCUCACCAAGGCGACGAUGCGUAGCCGACCUGAGAGGGUGAUCGGCCACACUGGGACUGAGACACGGCCCAGACUCCUACGGGAGGCAGCAGAAGGGAAUCUUCCGCAAUGGACGAAAGUCUGACGGAGCAACGCCGCGUGAGCGAAGAAGGUCUUCGGAUCGUAAAGCUCUGUUGUCAGGGAAGAACAAGUACCGUUCGAAUAGGGCGGUACCUUGACGGUACCUGACCAGAAAGCCACGGCUAACUACGUGCCAGCCGCCGCCGUAA
rnacentral:rRNA from 1 species